AUGAAUUGAAGGGCGCGCCUAGCACCGUGCAAACGGAUGGCCGCUUCAUCAUCUCAUUUUCACACACUGUGCUCAUAGAGGAUUUAAAGACAUCGUAAUACAUGUUUUUAAAACACUUUAUACACUUGAACGUUGAACAGUCUCGUGAUGUUGUAAUAACAUUUAAUUGUAAAUGAAAGAA
rnacentral:misc_RNA from 1 species